rnacentral:rRNA from 1 species
UAAGGUCCGUGUUCGAAAGGGAAACAGCCCAGACCACCAGCUAAGGUCCCAAAAUAUAUGUUAAGUGGAAAAGGAUGUGGCGUUGCCCAGACAACUAGGAUGUUGGCUUAGAAGCAGCCAUCAUUUAAAGAGUGCGUAAUAGCUCACUAGUCGAGUGACACUGCGCCGAAAAUGUACCGGGGCUAAACAUAUUACCGAAGCUGUGGAUUGUCCUUUGGACAAUGGUAGGAGAGCGUUCUAAGGGCGUUGAAGCAUGAUCGUAAGGACAUGUGGAGCGCUUAGAAGUGAGAAUGCCGGUGUGAGUAGCGAAAGACGGGUGAGAAUCCCGUCCACCGAUUGACUAAGGUUUCCAGAGGAAGGCUCGUCCGCUCUGGGUUAGUCGGGUCCUAAGCUGAGGCCGACAGGCGUAGGCGAUGGAUAACAGGUUGAUAUUCCUGUACCACCUAUAAUCGUUUUAAUCGAUGGGGGGACGCAGUAGGAUAGGCGAAGCGUGCGAUUGGAUUGCACGUCUAAGCAGUAAGGCUGAGUAUUAGGCAAAUCCGGUACUCGUUAAGGCUGAGCUGUGAUGGGGAGAAGACAUUGUGUCUUCGAGUCGUUGAUUUCACACUGCCGAGAAAAGCCUCUAGAUAGAAAAUAGGUGCCCGUACCGCAAACCGACACAGGUAGUCAAGAUGAGAAUUCUAAGGUGAGCGAGCGAACUCUCGUUAAGGAACUCGGCAAAAUGACCCCGUAACUUCGGGAGAAGGGGUGCUCUUUAGGGUUAACGCCCAGAAGAGCCGCAGUGAAUAGGCCCAAGCGACUGUUUAUCAAAAACACAGGUCUCUGCUAAACCGUAAGGUGAUGUAUAGGGGCUGACGCCUGCCCGGUGCUGGAAGGUUAAGAGGAGUGGUUAGCUUCUGCGAAGCUACGAAUCGAAGCCCCAGUAAACGGCGGCCGUAACUAUAACGGUCCUAAGGUAGCGAAAUUCCUUGUCGGGUAAGUUCCGACCCGCACGAAAGGCGUAACGAUUUGGGCACUGUCUCAACGAGAGACUCGGUGAAAUCAUAGUACCUGUGAAGAUGCAGGUUACCCGCGACAGGACGGAAAGACCCCGUGGAGCUUUACUGUAGCCUGAUAUUGAAAUUCGGCACAGCUUGUACAGGAUAGGUAGGAGCCUUUGAAACGUGAGCGCUAGCUUACGUGGAGGCGCUGGUGGG